rnacentral:misc_RNA from 1 species
CUCUCUCUCUCUCUCUCUGCUUCAAACUAGGAAGCCUAAAACAGUGUUAUCAAAAGCGAGGAAAGCGCCCAGGCCAGGCGAGACGCCCCUCUGUCUCCUCGACUGGAACGCCUAGCUGGGCUUUGGAGAGGCAACACCUCAGGCCGGCGAGGCGAGAGGCAACGCCUCAUUAAAGCAAACGGUAAUUUUUUUUUUAAUGAAAAAACUAAUAAACCUACCGCUUACCUGAUGCCAACAAAAGAGC